rnacentral:rRNA from 1 species
CAGUCGCGCGGUAAUACGUAGGUGGCGAGCGUUGUCCGGAAUUAUUGGGCGUAAAGGGAGCGCAGGCGGACAUAUAAGUCCAUCUUAAAAGUGCGGGGCUCAACCCCGUGAGGGGAUGGAAACUGUAUGCCUUGAGUGCAGGAGAGGAAAGCGGAAUUCCCAGUGUAGCGGUGAAAUGCGUAGAUAUUGGGAGGAACACCAGUGGCGAAGGCGGCUUUCUGGACUGUAACUGACGCUGAGGCUCGAAAGCCAGGGGAGCGAACGGGAUUAGAUACCCCCGUAGUCCCUGUCUCUUAUACAA